rnacentral:rRNA from 1 species
CGCGUAGGCGGGUUGGCAAGUCAGUGGUGAAAUCCUACAGCUUAACUGUAGAACUGCCAUUGAUACUGCUGAUCUUGAGUAUGGAAGAGAGAGACGGAAUUCCAGGUGUAGUGGUGAAAUACGUAGAUAUCUGGAAGAACACCAGUUGCGAAGGCGGUCUCUUGGUCCAAUACUGACGCUCAGGCGCGAAAGCGUGGGGAGCAAACA